rnacentral:sRNA from 1 species
CUGACCUCGCACCCAGCUCGGAGCCCGGAGCGUGCCUCGGCGGCCUAUCGGGUAAGGCCGGGCCUCGGAGCGGUGGCGCGGGGGCGGGCUGCGGGGAGAGGCCAGGCUCCCUCGCUCAGCUUCCAGCCCAGCACCCCCCACCCCCCAGGCUCAGGCCCAUCAGACCCGCAGCUCCCUGCGCUCCGCCUCCCCGCCAGCUUCGCGCCCCCAUCCCUUCCGGGCGCCCCGUCUGAGACAGAAGACCUCUGAUCCCCCGCCCCCGCCUGGUUUUCACCAUGGAGCAGCUGAGCUCAGCAAACACCCGCUUCGCCUUGGACCUGUUCCUGGCGUUGAGUGAGAACAACCCGGCUGGAAACAUCUUCAUCUCUCCCUUCAGCAUUUCAUCUGCUAUGGCCAUGGUUUUUCUGGGGACCAGAGGUAACACGGCAGCACAGCUGUCCAAGACUUUUCAUUUCAACACGGUUGAAGAGGUUCAUUCAAGAUUCCAGAGUCUGAAUGCUGAUAUCAACAAACGUGGAGCGUCUUAUAUUCUGAAACUUGCUAAUAGAUUAUAUGGAGAGAAAACUUACAAUUUCCUUCCU